rnacentral:rRNA from 1 species
AGCUCCAAUAGCGUAUAUUAACGUUGUUGCAGUUAAAAAGCUCGUAGUUGGAUUUCUGACAGGAGUGACCGGUCCGAGUCGCAAGACUCGUGUACUUUUGUGUCUUACUCUAGUCAUCCUUAUGGAGAUUGUGUUUCGGCAUUGAGUUGUCGGGCAUAGGACCCAUAUCGUUUACUGUGAAAAAAUUAGAGUGUUUAAAGCAGGCAAUUGCUGUGAAUACAUUAGCAUGGAAUAAUAAGAUAGGACUUUGGUGCUAUUUUGUUGGUUUGCCACCAAGGUAAUGAUUAAGAGGGACAGUUGGGGGUAUUCGUAUUUAAUUGUCAGAGGUGAAAUUCUUGGAUUUAUGAAAGACGAACUACUGCGAAAGCAUUUACCAAGGAUGUUU